UGUACCAGGCCUCUAGUCUAUAUACACUGAGUGGCCAGAUUAUUAUGACCAACUGACGUUUGAAGGCAAAUUAGCUAUACAUCAUAUGGGAUAUAGAAGCCGAAGGCCUGUUCGAACACCUUUGCUGUCUGCAGUUACCAAGAUAAAACGUCUCCAAUUCACACAUGAACACAAGGAUUGGACAGUUGCGCAUUGGAAAAAAGUCAUGUGGUCCGAUGAAUCACAUUUCCAGUUGCAGCAUGCAGAUGGCAGAGUGAGAAUUUGGCGGAAACAGCAUGAAAGCAUGCACCCCACAUGCAUGAGUACAACCCUUCAAGCUGGCGGGGGCAGUGUUAUGGUUUGGGGCAUGUUUUCCUGGCAUGAUUUGGGCCCUUUAAUUUGUGUGAACAACAUCUGAAUAGCACACCAUACCUAAGUAUCGUUGCUGAUCAAGUUCAUCCUAUCAUGUUGAUGGUGUAUCCCAAUGGAGAUGGCUUCUUCCAACAAGACAAUGCGCCAUGCCAUGGUGCUCUUAUUGUGCAGGAGUGGUUUCAAGAACAUAAGGGAGACUUUACCUUGCUUAGGUGGCCCCCACAGUCACCAGAUCUCAAUCCAAUUGGGCAUUUGUGGGACCAAGUUAAAAGAGCCACCAGGCAGCUGGUUCCACAACCAUCAGAUCUCACAGAACUGGACAGUGCUAUUCAUCAGGCAUGGUGUCAGAUUCCUCACAUCACCUUUCAAGAUCUCAUGGAGUCAAUACCAAGAAGAAUCGCCGCAGUAUUGAAGGCAAAAGGUGGCCCAACGAAGUACUGAUGGGGUGGUCAUAAUAAUCUGGCCACUCAGUGUAUAUAUAAGCUCAGUGACCAAACAGCAGAAUGACCAGAAAGACCAAUCGCUAUGACAGGCACUGACCACCAGAGGGCAGACACUGCAGGAUGAGCAGCAGGAGCAGCUGCUCAGAGGGUGAGUCCUCAGCUGCUCGGCUAACCGGGAUGAAUGGUGCUCCCACAGUGGGCUGAUCCCUGCAGUCCAUGCCCCCACCAGUGCACAAAUCCAUGCACCAGGCCUCUGGUACUAAUGUAUGUAUGCAGCUUUAUGCUUUGCUUUCUCCUCACUUAUAUAGUUGGGAUUUUUAUGUCAUUUUUGGUGAAUAUAAUUUAAAAUAUCAUUUUCUUUUUUAAUUAUAAAUGUCUGCUAUAACAGUCUUCCAGUAUAGAAAUAU